rnacentral:miRNA from 1 species
GUGCUGGGAUGAGCUGGGCUGAGCUGGGCUGGACUGGGCUGUGCUGGGCUGAGCUGGGCUGGCCUGUGCUGGACUGGG